GGGGAUGAUCGGUUUCGACAUUGCCUGAGUGAGUGUGAGAAGCGGGUCGAGGAUGCAGGGUUAUCUCGUAAACGAUCUCUGCGAAACAUAAGUGCCAAUUCAAAGCGCACUGACUUCGCCCUCGCUGCCUAAGCGAGCGCCAUAAAAGUCCGUCAGACCGGGAAUGCUCUCUACCCGGACUUCUGGCGUCAGCUAGAGAGCUUGCUGCGGCGUUACGUCCUAGGGCGUCGCGGGACGUGAACUAGG
rnacentral:tmRNA from 1 species